UACAGAGGGUGCAAGCGUUAAUCGGAAUUACUGGGCGUAAAGCGUGCGUAGACGGUCAUGUAAGUCGGGUGUGAAAGCCCCGGGCUCAACCUGGGAAUUGCAUUCGAGACUGCAUAGCUAGGGUGCGGAAGAGGGAAGCGGAAUUUCCGGUGUAGCGGUGAAAUGCGUAGAUAUCGGAAGGAACACCAGUGGCGAAAGCGGCUUCCUGGCCCAGCACCGACGUUCAGGCACGAAAGCGUGGGGAGCAAACAGG
rnacentral:rRNA from 1 species